UAUUGGGCGUAAAGCGCGCGCAGGCGGUCUCUUAAGUCUGAUGUGAAUGCCCACGGCUCAACCGUGGAGGGUCAUUGGAAACUGGGGGACUUGAGUACUGGAGAGGAGAGUGGAAUUCCAUGUGUAGCGGUGAAAUGCGUAGAUAUAUGGAGGAACACCAGUGUCGAAGGCGGCUCUCUGGCCAGUAACUGACGCUGAGGCGCGAAAGCGUGGGGAGCAAACGGGAUUAGAUACCCUGGUAGUCCACGCCGUAAACGAUGAGUGCUAGGUGUUGGGGGGUUCCACCCUCAGUGCUGACGUUAACACAUUAAGCACUCCGCCUGGGUAGUACGACCGCAAGGUUGAAACUCAAAGGAAUUGACGGGGGCCCGCACAAGCAGUGGAGCAUGUGGUUUAAAUCGAAGCAACGCGAAGAACCUUACCAGGUCUUGACAUCCUUCGCUACUUCCAGAGAUGGAAGGUUCCCCUUCGGGGGACGAAGUGACAGGUGGUGCAUGGUUGUCGUCAGCUCGUGUCGUGAGAUGUUGGGUUAAGUCCCGCAACGAGCGCAACCCUUGAUCUUAGUUGCCAGCAUUCAGUUGGGCACUCUAAGGUGACUGCCGGUGACAAACCGGAGGAAGGUGGGGACGACGUCAAAUCAUCAUGCCCCUUAUGACCUGGGCUACACACGUGCUACAAUGGAUGGUACAAAGGGCAGCAAAACCGCGAGGUUGAGCGAAUCCCAUAAAGCCAUUCUCAGUUCGGAUUGCAGGCUGCAACUCGCCUGCAUGAAGCCGGAAUUGCUAGUAAUCGCGGAUCAGCAUGCCGCGGUGAAUACGUUCCCGGCUUA
rnacentral:rRNA from 1 species